rnacentral:rRNA from 1 species
AUACAGGGCCCUCAAAGGUCUUGUAAUUGGAAUGAGUACAAUUUAAACCCCUUAACGAGGAACAAUUGGAGGGCAAGUCUGGUGCCAGCAGCCGCGGUAAUUCCAGCUCCAAUAGCGUAUAUUAAUGUUGUUGCAGUUAAAAAGCUCGUAGUUGGAUUUUGGGCUUGUUCAGCCGGUCGCGCCGCAAGGCGUGUCGUGGGAUGUAGCGGGGGCAACCUCGUGAAGUCUCCACUGGGUGGGCUUGCCUCUAUCGGGGGGGUCAUUUCGGUGGCCUUCUCUUCUCUUCUAAAGACCCAGUGUGCUCUUAACCGGGCGUGCUGGGGAUUUAGGACUUUUACUUUGAAAAAAUUAGAGUGUUCAAAGCAGGCUUAUUUUCGCUUGAAUACAUUAGCAUGGAAUAAUGAAAUAGGACUUUGGUACUAUUUUGUUGGCUUCUAGGACCGAAGUAAUGAUUAAUAGGGAUAGUUGGGGUGGUUAGUAUUUAAUUGUCAGAGGUGAAAUUCUUGGAUUUAUGAAAGACUAACUUCUGCGAAAGCAUUCCACAAGGAUGUUUUCAUUAAUCAAGAACGAAAGUUAGGGGAUCGAAGAUGAUCAGAUACCGUCGUAGUCUUAACCAUAAACUAUGCCGACUAGGGAUCGGUGGAUGUUAUUUUUUCAUGACUCCAUCGGCACCUUACUGAGAAAUCACAAGUCUUUGGGUUCCGGGGGGAGUAUGGUCGCAAGGCUGAAACUUAAAGGAAUUGACGGAAGGGCACCACCAGGAGUGGAGCCUGCGGCUUAAUUUGACCCAACACGGGGAAACUCACCAGGUCCAGACAUGGUAAGGAUUGACAGAUUGAGAGCUCUUUCUUGAUUCUAUGGGUGGUGGUGCAUGGCCGUUCUUAGUUGGUGGAGCGAUCUGUCUGGUUAAUUCCGAUAACGAACGAGACCUUAACCUGCUAAAUAGUUACGCGAACUCAACCCCAUUCCCUUUCGGGGGGGUGGGGUGGUUCUGUGGUCAACUUCUUAGAGGGACUGUCGGUGUUUAACCGACGGAAGUUUGAGGCAAUAACAGGUCUGUGAUGCCCUUAGAUGUCCUGGGCCGCACGCGCGCUACACUGAUGAAGUCAGCGAGUUUAUAACCUUGUUCGGAAGGACAUUUUCUUCGGGGUAAUCUUCUGAAACUUCAUCGUGCUGGGGAUAGAUCAUUGCAAUUAUUGAUCUUCAACGAGGAAUUCCUAGUAAGCGCGAGUCAUCAGCUCGCGUUGAUUACGUCCCUGCCCUUUGUACACACCGCCCGUCGCUACUACCGAUUGAAUGGUUUAGUGAGAUCUUUGGACUAACGCAACGCAGCUGUCUGACAGCAGCGAUGUGUCGGGAAGCUGAUCAAACUUGAUCAUUUAGAGGAAGUAAAAGUC